CAUCCUUAAGUGUUUUAGAAAUACUAAGAAUCGGUGGCUCAGUUAUGGAGAAUCUGACUUAAAUCUUAUAAAAUUUGACUCCAAUUUUUAGUUGGACAUAAUAAUAGCAAGAACGUGUCAAAAUACAUCUUUACCCUAAAUAAUGGAGUAAUAUGUUGGAAAAGUUUCAAGCAGAAUAAUAUAGCCAAUUCAAUUUGUGAGGC
rnacentral:lncRNA from 1 species